rnacentral:tRNA from 1 species
GGGGAUAUAGCUCAGCUGGGAGAGCGCGUGCUUCGCAUGUACGAGGUCAGGGGUUCGAUCCCCCUUAUCUCCA